UUGUAUAAUCGGAGCAGCCAAACACCAAGUGGCCAACAUCAACCUUAUUCUGGUUAGAGUCUUCAAAGGCAAAUGCAUCACUUGAAAGAGUUCCUCCAGUUGAAGUACCACCAUCACCAUAUUCUAUCAUAUAGCAACAAUCUUUUUCAUCACUACCGCAGGGAAAUGCCCAGGUCUCCUCACAGGCUGGAGAAUCAGACGGUACUGUGUUGUAGGUGGAAGAUUUGGAGGGGUCGAAAAUAGGUGACGUUUGUUCGAAACACUUUCUGCAUGGAAGGCACUGAUGCCAUAUGAGUCCACUUCCUGUGUCAGGAACGGCAUAUAUUAGAUGAGGGGGGCUUCCCACAUUGUACAUCAUUAUAUAGCUGAAUCCCUCAGGAAUCAAUUUUGGGGACAAAUCUUCAACCAAGGAUUGGGACGUAUGUGAGUUGAGGUACCUGAGACGGGCUAUGGAGCGGUUAGCUGCCAGAAUGGCCCGAUCACUGGUGCUCAAAUUGGGGUCAUAAAAGGGGGAUGAAGGAGAGUCACGGUGGAUCAGAUGUACCACAAAACCGUCACUAAUAGUACUAAUAUUGUCGUGAUGGGGUGUGGUUGGAGGAAUGAGGAUACUUGAUAUUAGAAAGAUUACAGCUCUGAGGAAGAAAGAGGCAGCACCCAUGAUCAACUGAGACAAAUAAUGUGAUGUCUGGGCGCAUCCUUUCUAUGGGAACAAGGGUGUAUUUGAUCAUACUGGGACUAUAUGUACCAGUUAAUAGCCAGCAUUCCAGGAGGGUAAAAAUCACAGAAAGAUUGAGUUUAGUCACUAUGUACAUUCACACCCUUGAAAUAUAUACUUUCUCAUUACUCAUUCACUUGCCAUGACUACUAUUUUUUAUGUUUUGGUGAACUGAUUAUUCUGAUUACUAAUCUUAGAUUCAAUGCUUCUCAAGAAAAGGCUCGAAGUCUAUACUAGAAAUUGGCACAAUCCACUGGAGAAAAAGAAACCACCUGAGCUUCAAGGUCAUAUCCAACAUAAUAGUUCUGCUGCUGAAUAUUUCCAAGUAUAGAGACUUUCCAAAGGCUAUUAGACGAAAGCAUGGCCAGGCACCAUAGCCCCUUUUUCCCUUCCACAUAUGUAGUCUGCCUGGUCUGCUUCUGCUUGGCCAUUGGGAAAACAGGGAGAAGAGAAUGAGUUGCGUACACCAUAUUUUGAGCAGAACUGUUUGAACUUUGCACUGUCAAAUUGAGGCUCAUUAUCAGAUAAAAUAGCAUGAGGAAUACUAAAUCGGCAUAAUAUGCUUUUCCACACAAACUUGAUGAGAUCGCUAUCCUUCUACUCGAUUAGUGAAAUAGUCGGUGGCAACAAGAAGGAAUUUCUUUUGAGAGGGUGUGGUUGGUAGAGGUCCGACUAUAUAUAUUCCCCAUAAAGAGAAAGGCCACGGGUUAAUCAUAGGGUUAAGUUCUUCGGUUGGUGUGUGUAUGAUAUUUCCGAACCUUUGACAUUGAUCACAUUGAUUACUAGACGAGUUUCUAGUACGACAAUGACAAUGUCUAAUGUAGUCUAUUCCUCUUGAUACGACUUACACUCCUUUACAUAGAACCUCAACUUCUUAGCUUGCACCAUGCUUUCAACUAGGUGUUUUUGAAGUUUUGACAAUCAUCCAUGGAAUGGUCAUUGUCUUGAUUAUAGUUGCAAAAGCAUGAUCAACCAAUCGCAUUAUUUGAGUCCCUCCUCAUAGAUUAUGACUAGGUGAAUCCUUCCAUUCCCUCGAUCACGGGAAGGAGGCGAGAAUAAGACAUGGUAUGAUAGUUACAAGAGCAUGAUCAAUAGAUCGCAUUAUUUGAGUCCCUUCUCAUAGAUUAUGACUAGGUGAAUCCUUCCAUUCCCUCGAUCACCGGAAGGAGACGAGAAUAAGACAUGGUAUGAUAGUUACAAAAGCAUGAUCAAUAGAUCGCAUUAUUUGAGUCCCUUCUCAUAGAUUAUGACUAGGUGAAUCCUUCCAUUCCCUCGAUCACUGGAAGGAGGCGAGAAUAAGACAUGGUAAGGGCAGUAUAAGGGCGUCCUCGGUCGAAUCCUCAUUCAUAGUUUGUUCGUCUUCACUGGUUCUGUUGAGAAAAAGUUUUGUCCCUCCAUCGAUUGGUAGAGUCCCUUGUGUGGCGAUGACCUUCAUCCUAGGUUAAGGCCACCUUGCUUUGUUGCAACACGAAGGUCAUCUUCCAACAUUGAGUAUUUGUUAGCCCUUUGGAACAGUUCGUCUAUAAACCCGAGAGGAUUUAGAGAUAUGGAAUGGGAAAAUGGAGUAUUUGGAAAGAUGGCCUGCAUAACCGUGUCCAUGCUGACCCUAUCCAGUUAAAAUAUUGCUCCCUCAAAUCUUUUCAUGAAACUAUGGAUAAACUCUCAUCGCUCCAUUUUCACAUGAAAUAAACGAGCAACGGCUUGCUUCCGUCUCAUGAACACAAAUACUGGUUGGCAAAGAUUUCAGAUAACCCACGAAAUGAAUUGAUCCAGUUAAUCGAUAGUCGGGGAACCAAGAGAAAAGGCCCCUACAAACUUGACAGAAACACUUUACAUAAUAAAGGAUCAUUUUUGCUUUUAAGAGUCAUUACUUGGCGAAAGAGCAUCAAGUGAUUGAAGGGAUCUCCAAAUAUUCCAUUAUACAUGUUUGAAUUUGAGCAUUAAGAAAUGUUGUGGUGCCUCUUACCUUAGGAUGUUGUGCAUGAACGACAUGGUCGUCGUGUUGUUCAAGAUUCCAAAAGGUUGUGUUCUGGGUCCAUAUUGGUCGAUUUGUGAGACGAAAAGGGAUAUACCAUAAGACUCACAUGACAGUCCACAUCAAGCUGUCCUCAACCUGGCCAUUGCUAGAAUGUGAACUAGUUUUUUUUUUUUUCUUGCGAGCGAAGGAACCAUGUUGAGUUCCUCUUUUUCAGGGUGGGGAUUGGGUGUGGCACCAACACCGGUUCAUCAGUAGGUGUGGCCAGUUGGAGAGGAGGCUAUAAUCUACCGAUUAACUUAGAAUCAAUGUGUAUUGAGGGUUCCGAGCUACUACAACAACAUUGAGUAUCCGAUUUCCCCAUUGCAAAGCUUCAGUAGCGGAGAUGAAGGCCUCUAUUUGCUUGCAAUGCUCAUCUUACUGCUCUUUCCACUGUCUUGCCAUUAGGGCCAUCCACUCCUCCAUCGCUAGGUGCUAUUCUCUCAAUUGAUCCACCGACACUACCAAAUGUAAUGUCUCUAAAAAAUUCUUUAUACGCAAACCACCAUUAUAUACUCAUCGUGAUUCGUUUUUAUUGGUCACUUUUCCUAUCAAAGGAUAAAACCUCUCGCCUCUUCUGUGGAAACAUCCUUAGGAAGGUCAAAUCCAUAUAAGAGGACUAGUAUUAGCCCCUUGACAUACACGAACCAUGCAGCACUAAGGCUUCAUGAAGAAACACUAAGGCUUCAUGGGGCGGCACCUUGGUCUCAUGAGUGACAUGACAAUAACAAGGUGACACAAGGGAGCAAUGCCUUGCGGAAGGAGAUGACUUGGUGAGCCAUGGGCACAAUGCAAUACACAAAGGAGCAAUGUCGCGGAUGCAGCAGCAUGUUGCCUUGACAUGGAUGCAAUCUGAACAUUUAGGCCAAAAGAAAGCAUGACAUGCACACCAACCACAUAUAUAGAUGCAUGCCACAACAACAUGAAGAGUUGGACUCAAAGUGGGAUUGCAAGCUAAGCACGAGAAGGAGUCUUGAUGUCUAUUGUAAUUGUAGUCAGUGGGACUAGGACUCUAAGUCCUAGUAGGAGUGGGUGUACCAAAACCUAUUAGUAAGAGUCCUAGUAGAACUAGGAUGUGUACUCCUAGUCUGAUAAGGAGUGGCUGGUGACCACUCUAUAAAAGGAGGACCGAGCCUCCUUGACAAGGAGUGAGAUCUAGAGAGGGAGAUGUGAGGGAAACUUAAUCUCAUUGAGAUUAUUGUGGGAGUGUGGCCCAAAUCUUGUAUGCUUAUUCAGUUAUCUAAUAAAAUAAGUUGGGGUUGGUGCCCUAUAAGUCUCACGUGUGCCUUUGUGUGUUGUUGUCAUAUCUUGUGGGAAAGAUAUAAUGUGGACCCAUAUAGUGUAGACCUAUAUUUUUUAUGUGCGUCCCCAUUCAAUGACAAGACUCAUUUUUAUUAGUAAAACAUUAGUUUUAAAAAAAUUGGAGUCGCUACUUAUUUUAUUUUAUUUUAAAAGGGAAAAUAAAACAAAAAAGAAAAUCUUAAAGAAGUGAUUUCAUAGUUUUGGAAAAGUAAGUCUUGAAAAACCCGAGUCUUAGUUCGGGGAUCAGGUUACCUAUUGGAAAGGUACAUCUAAGAGGUAACACCCCUCUAAGCCCUAAAAAAGUCUUUAUUGACUAAGUUGAGGGAAAAGUGACAAUUAAUCAAUUAAUUGAAGGUACCUAAAUAGGCUAAGGUGAUUUUAGAACUAGUAUGCCAAAAAAGAAAUCAAAUCACAAUCGCAAAGGAGGGUUUGGAUGUGUAUCUAGACUGCCUCUUAAGCGCUAUCAUAAGACAUUAAAAUUAGCACAGAAAUAUAGCACAUGCAUGACAUGUAUUUAAUUAGAACAAAUUGAACAUACAUCUAAGCACCAAAGGAUUACAUCAAACAUAGAUAUAGAUAUGACUCACAACAACAUGCAUGUUCAUAAAAUUCCAAAAAGUAGGUGAUAGAGAGUGUACCUAGAUAAUAUGCAUAAUUGAUAAGAUUCCUCCGAAAAUGUUAGGGUGGUUAGGACAAGUAUAAAUUACAUAACAUCUUCAUUAUGUCUAAUAUGCAGUACCAAAGUCAAAAUUGAGUCAAGUUAAGUCAAAUGACUCAAAAAAAUAACAAUAAUUUCAAGUAAAGUACAAGAUCAUCAGCAUGCAAUUAGAAAAGGGAGCAUCACAAAAUAAUUUCUAAAAAAAAUGUCUUGGAGUGGAAUUUAAUUACGAAAAAUUUCAGGAAACAACACUUACACUUUUAGAACAACAUAUCAAAAACCGCACUCAUUCAAAUGACAAAUUGCAGCAAAGACAUCCAAAAGUUCUACAAAGUCUAGAUUAUGUAAAAAAAAAUAAUGACAUGCAUAAACGAAUUUUUAAAAAAAUAAUAAGAGAUCACAUAAAAUCAUACAAAAAAUCACACACAUUUUUCAAAGUGUUUGUAUCACAUAAAAAAUGAAUCCAAGUUAGAUAGUACUCAAAAAUAUUUUUAAAACACUUCAGUUAAUCAGAUAUUCAGAAUCCAUCACGUGCCGUAGGUACGAAUUUGAAAAAUCAUAUCUCCCUCAAAAAAACAUAUUUUUUAAUAUUUUAUAUGUCUAAAAUCAAUUUCAGGAAGUGUAGAAUUAAAGAAAAAUAUUAAAUCAAAUUUAAAAAGUCAUCUGUUAUUAAAUUUUUACAAAAAGAUUUCGGGUUUCCAGGGUGAAAAUAGAGCCCUUAAUACCCUGAAGUGUCUAGAGUUACAUUGUUUUCCUGGUAGACGUAUCACACUGCUCAACGUAUUGACUAAAAGAUCGAAUGCUUCAGACCUUAAUAUCGUCAAUGAUGAGCCAGAAUCAACUACAAAUCCUCCCCCCUCUGAGGUCCAAUUGAAUAUCCCAUAAGGGGACCUUUUCUUCUCCAACACUGAUCCCCAGAUGAGUGACAUAAUAGAGCUUCACUCCUUGCAGAAAUGGGGUUAGCCCACCCAUGAGCACUGAGAGCGAUCCAAAAUACAUUCUGCUUCCUGAUCUUCGGUCAUCACGUAUAACCAUGCAGUAGGCGAACUUCUUUAUUUUCAACUAUGAGACUAAAGAGAGUGAAUCCUGGUUAAGGCCUACAAUGCCAACUUCAUAGCCUUUAAAAGUCCCAGUUGUAUAAUCUGAGCAGCCAAACACCAAGUGACAAACAUCAACCAUAUUCUGCCUAUUGUCUUCAAAGGCAAAUGCAUCAAUUGAAAUUGUUCCUUCAGUUGAUGUACUGCCACUACCAUAUGAUAUCCUAUAGCAACAAUCUUCUUCAUCAAUAUGGCAGGCAUAUCCCCCGGCCUGGUAACAGGUUGGAGCAUCCCAUGGUACUGUGCUGUAGGUGGAAGAUUUGGAGGGGUCGAAAACAGGUGGUGUUUGGUUGAAACACUGUGCCACUUCCUGCAUAUGUCAGCAAUGGCAUAUACCAGACUAGGCGGGGUUCCCACGUUGUACAUCAUU
rnacentral:lncRNA from 1 species